UACGUAAGUGGCGAGCGUUGUCCGGAUUUACUGGGCGUAAAGGACGCGUAGGCGGUUUGAUAAGUUGGAAGUGAAAUCUUCGGGCCCAACCCGAAGCCUGCUUUCAAAACUGUUGAACUAGAACAUUGAAGGGGAGAAUGGUAUUCCAGGUGUAGCGGUGAAAUGCGUAGAUAUCUGGGAGAACACCAAUGGCGAAAGCAGUUCUCUGGUCAAUAGUUGACGCUGAGGCGUGAAAGCGUGGGUAGCGAACAGG
rnacentral:rRNA from 1 species